rnacentral:rRNA from 1 species
CCUACGGGUGGCAGCAGUGAGGAAUAUUGGUCAAUGGACGCAAGUCUGAACCAGCCAUGCCGCGUGCAGGAAGACGGCUCUAUGAGUUGUAAACUGCUUUUAUACGGGGGUAAAUCCCGAUACGUGUAGCGGGUUGAAAGUAUCGUACGAAUAAGGAUCGGCUAACUCCGUGCCAGCAGCCGCGGUAAUACGGAGGGUUCAAGCGUUAUCCGGAUUUAUUGGGUUUAAAGGGUGCGUAGGCGGUCGGAUAAGUUAGAGGUGAAAUCCCGGGGCUCAACUUCGGAAUUGCCGCUGAUACUGGUCGGCUAGAGAGUAGUUGCGGUAGGCGGAAUGUAUGGUGUAGCGGUGAAAUGCUUAGAGAUCAUACAGAACACCGAUUGCGAAGGCAGCUUACCAAGCUACUUCUGACGUUGAGGCACGAAAGCGUGGGGAGUAAACAGGAUUAGAUACCCGAGUAGUC